rnacentral:rRNA from 1 species
AGUCGAGCGGCAGCACGGGUACUUGUACCUGGUGGCGAGCGGCGGACGGGUGAGUAAUGCCUAGGAAUCUGCCUGGUAGUGGGGGAUAACGCUCGGAAACGGACGCUAAUACCGCAUACGUCCUACGGGAGAAAGCAGGGGACCUUCGGGCCUUGCGCUAUCAGAUGAGCCUAGGUCGGAUUAGCUAGUUGGUGAGGUAAUGGCUCACCAAGGCGACGAUCCGUAACUGGUCUGAGAGGAUGAUCAGUCACACUGGAACUGAGACACGGUCCAGACUCCUACGGGAGGCAGCAGUGGGGAAUAUUGGACAAUGGGCGAAAGCCUGAUCCAGCCAUGCCGCGUGUGUGAAGAAGGUCUUCGGAUUGUAAAGCACUUUAAGUUGGGAGGAAGGGCAUUAACCUAAUACGUUAGUGUUUUGACGUUACCGACAGAAUAAGCACCGGCUAACUCUGUGCCAGCAGCCGCGGUAAUACAGAGGGUGCAAGCGUUAAUCGGAAUUACUGGGCGUAAAGCGCGCGUAGGUGGUUCGUUAAGUUGGAUGUGAAAUCCCCGGGCUCAACCUGGGAACUGCAUUCAAAACUGUCGAGCUAGAGUAUGGUAGAGGGUGGGUGGAAUUUCCUGUGUAGCGGUGAAAUGCGUAGAUAUAGGAAGGAACACCAGUGGCGAAGGCGACCACCUGGACUGAUACUGACACUGAGGUGCGAAAGCGUGGGGAGCAAACAGGAGUAGAUACCCUGGUAGUCCACGCCGUAAACGAUGUCAACUAGCCGUUGGGAGCCUUGAGCUCUUAGUGGCGCAGCUAACGCAUUAAGUUGACCGCCUGGGGAGUACGGCCGCAAGGUUAAAACUCAAAUGAAUUGACGGGGGCCCGCACAAGCGGUGGAGCAUGUGGUUUAAUUCGAAGCAACGCGAAGAACCUUACCAGGCCUUGACAUCCAAUGAACUUUCCAGAGAUGGAUUGGUGCCUUC